rnacentral:rRNA from 1 species
UGAGCCAAGUUUAGGGUUUUCUCAAAACCCAAGCAGUAUUGAACUGAAGAGUUUGAUCAUGGCUCAGAUUGAACGCUGGCGGCAGGGCUGGCGGCAGGCCUAACACAUGCAAGUCGAGCGGAUGAAGGGAGCU